CAUAUACAUAAACUGGAAUAACGAAAGAUUCCUCGCAAUCGUGAAAUCUUUUCUGCGUAUCUGUGUUUAUUAUACUCUCCUCGAUACACUGACCAUAUAAUAUCGACUCGUUAUUUUCUAAUGAUGGAAAAUCGGUUACGUUAAUAUCCAUCCCGGUAGUUUUUGAGUACGUAUCGUCUUCAUUUAAAUCCAUACUGAAUAUGGUAGAUUCGCCAUUCCUUUCGGAGUUGUUACUUGCUGAUUGCUCUUCUGUAUACGAAGGAGACGUAAAUAAACGUACAACGUCUUUUUCUGAUGCAGAAAAAAACGGUAAAGGUGGACCACCUACUCGACGCCUGUCAAGAAGCAUUUUUGUGAAUCUUUGUGAUUCAGCAGAAGUUAAUAAAAGUUCUUUAUUGUGUAACUGUUUCAUAUGUUCUAAGAAAUUAUCCAUUAGUAUUUUAUUUGCACUUCCCUGUCCCUUAUUGUUG
rnacentral:misc_RNA from 1 species